rnacentral:lncRNA from 1 species
GCUCCUUGCCCGGGCAUAUCGCCAGCGGAGCCAGCUCUGCUCUGGUUUUUCAGGGCCUUUGCCAUUCCCUGGGGGCCGGUUCACAGCGGUGGGGGGAGGACGAGGGCACGUGCUAUCCUGUCACGGUGCCACCUCCCCGGUUUGGGAUCUUUCAGGGCUCGCAGGUAGCAACGGGGGCCGAGACUCAGAGGGACGGGGGAGCGCAGCGGGGACUGCCCCGGGCUCCGCGCCGCGCUGGAGACAGAGUAAAACCCGGCAUUUCUCCAUAACCGUCCGUACAUCGCCCUCUAGAGGCCCGAAGGGAGCUGACCCGGGAGGGCGAACAGACCCCCUUCGCCCACUCCCCAGCAAGGGCCGCCGCGAUGGGCCCAGAGAGCCAGGGCCGGCCGGGGCGCUGGCUGAGCGCACAGGCGAGGCUGGUUCUAGGCCCCGCAUCCAAGGGCGAGCAGACAAGCCCGGCUGGAGGAGGGGCUCUGCGCGCCUGCCCUGGAGCCGCUUGGCCGGGCGAGUUGGCGUUGCUGGGAGCUACCAGCGAGUCGCACGGGCAGGGGACGGUGGGGAGCCCUGCAGGAGAGCCGCGUGGCUCCGGCUCCAGCUGGCCCCGAUCCUGGGAAAGCAGCGCCCGUCGGAGCUCAUCUUACAUCCCCGUCCAGAGCGCGCCAGCAGCGUGCGAUCGGCAAGACCCGGCCUAGGUGCUCUGCGCCCCCCGACCUCCCCAGGGAUGGCGCUCAGCUACCACGGUGAUGGGUGACCUCGGAGCAUCUCUGACUGUAGCACCAGGGGAAUCCGCUGGUGAGCAACGAUCAGAUGGAGGCGGAGGAGGAGCGAGCUUUAGAUACCCAAACCGGACAACCCCGCAAGGGGUAACGCACUGUGAGCGUGACCCCGGCCACUACACAACACACCAUCCCCCGGGUGUCGAAUCCCCCCUUGCCAGCAUUGCAGGAGCGCUCCCUUACUUCGCGACCCAUUUGCCCUAACGUAGAGAUUGGGGCCCAGAGUCCAACCUCCCCGCUGCACCCUCACACCUGCGCCCUGUGGUUUACAGAACAGCAGGCGUCUGCUGCUAAACCCAGUCUGAAGAGCAGGGAAACCAUCUAAGGGUGGGGGGUGGGGAGAGCGAGCGAGCGCUGGGCAAAGAUUUCAGAAGCAUCAAAUAAAAAGAUGCGAAAAUGUGGGGAAAGUGGUUUU